CUGCUGACCAGAGGUCCCCUCCUGACUCCAGUGCUCAUAGGCUGGAGGGAGGGAGGCCAACACUAUGCUCUACUUUCUAUCCAAAGAGAAAGUGUUCAAGAGAAUGCAGGGCACAUCAAAGGCAGUUUUUGACCAAAGGCCAUGUGUAGGCUGAGAGAAGAAAUGCUACGGGAGUUCAGACAUGUAGUAGACCAUUGUAGCCAGAAGUGGUCAGAGAGGGCUUUGUGGGCAAGAAGGGGGGAGGGUCCAAGUUAGCCUCACAUGACGGGACAGAUUCAGAUACAUGGAGAGAAAGGAGCAAAGGCAGGGAACAGGGUCUGAACAAAGCAUAGAAGUAGAAGAGUACAGCGUGUGCUUCAGAAGAAAGACAUUCCUGGCAAACUCAAGAGGGUGACUAGUCUGAGGAAGGGUGAGACGGGGAAGCUGGGAUCAAGCCAAGGAGAGCUCUUACUACUAGGAGUCCUGAUGGCUUCCAGAGCUGUGAUCAGUCCAUUACACCUGAGUGUAAAUGAAGGAUCUCAAAGUGGGUGUUGACCCGGAGGCUGGAGAGGGAAAGGGAGAUGGAACCUGCCUACUCGGGGUGGAAGAUCACUGGAGACAUGGAAAGUGCUGGAGACAGAGCGCAGAGAGGAGGAACUGGCGUCGUGACAAACUGUGCCAAGGGCAAGCUCCCCGAGUUCCAGCAACUACUCCUGACACCAGCCAGGCUGUCCGGGCAUUAACAACAAUGUUUCAUCCGCUCAGUGUGACCACGGCAUCAGCCAGAUGAUUUACAUGACUGCGCCAGGCGGCCCAGUCGGUAGUGGCUGGCGUCUCUAACACAUGGGGGAGCUUGGCUAAUCUUAACAUUAGCCGGUUGCAGAACCUCAUCAACAGCUGCCUGCUACAGAGGAUUUAGAAUAAGGCGGAGAUUGAAGCACGAAAUGAUUGAAAUCUGGAAAACCAUAUUUUCAUGGGAGAAGAGGCUGCCAAAAUGUCCACCUCCUGAAUCAGCAAGGAUCAAGAAGGAAUGAUGGAAUCCCUGCAGCCGACAAUUGCACUAGGUUCCUACCCCACACUCAAGAGUGAAGAUAUCUCUCCAACCCUUGAGCAUGAGCUUAUCUUGUGAUUUGCCUUGGCUCAUAGAAUGUGGUGGAAGUGAUGGUGUGCUUGUCUCAAGUCUAGGCCUCAAGAGACAUUGCUGACUUUUGCUCUACCUCUUGGUCCUCGAUCAUGAUGGGAAUAAGCCUGUGCUAGCCUGAUGGUGAAUAAGACAUGGAAAGCAAAGCCAGGUCAAAGCCUCAGAUAUGUGAGAGAGCCCGGCCCAGCCAAGAUCAGCCGAGCCUCCUAAGCCAACUUACUAUUGAGUGUAGAUGUGUGAAUGAUCCCUCUAAGCCCAGUGAAACCACCCAACUGACCCAGAGACUCGUGAGCAGAAUGUCAAUUGCUAUAUGGCACUGAAGUUCUGUGGUUAUUUGUUUUAUAGCAUGGUUGUGAUAACAGAUAAUACCUACUAUGGUAGUUAUAUCUAAUGGACAGAGUAUUAGCUAGUAGGCUAUGACGGUGGAGAGACUCUGGUAUAACUUGGCCUCAGCACAGCAAAAUGUCAAGCUGUCACCUAAGAAAGAUGUCCAUUUACUGAAGCGCAUGAGAACUAUGCUCCAAGAGGAUGGACAAGACAAUACCCAACUUCAUUCCAACAGCAGCCUUUCACUGCUGGACCACUCAGGGAUAGUGUGUUGCCAUCACUCUCCACUGAGUAAAAUUGAAAGUUGCAUUUUGAUCACAAGCUACAUGUCAUAGUGUUCAUAUAUUGGUUGUGCUAGUUAACUUGGAUUUCUGUCCCUUGCAACCGAAAGAGUUCGGGUUCCAGGCAUGGGAGCAUUUGAAAAACUACAAUGCCUCCCCUCCCAUCUGAUGCUCAUGGUCUUGAGGAGUGUGGCUGAGGAAGCAAGCUGGAACCUCUAAAGCACAUCAAAGAGCAGGCUGCUUGUUCCCUGUGUCAGCUUUCUUACAGAGAGGUCUCCUCCCAGAGCUGGCCCAGGUGUAGACCAAAGAAGACAAUAUUUCUCCAUAACAAAUCACCUAUGCCAACUCCUAUCCCUGCCCCAAGGCUACCAGCCUCCUGUGUCUUCAGACUGAUAACUGGAAUUCCGUGGUGCCUCCUUUCUAUACGCCGGCUGAACAAUGUUCAUACUCUUGGCCUUUUUCUUAUUCCUUUAUACACUUCUGUUUCAGUUAUUCAUUGUUGCAUACCAAACUGUCCCAAACGGAAUGACAUAAAACAAUCAGCAUUUUUUUCUUCUAUUUGUAUGUUCCACAGGUCAGGAAUUUAGAGAUGGCGUGGUGGGAUGGAUUGUCACCGCUCCUGGAGAGCUGGACCUUCAGCUGGGAGGACUUGAAUGGCAAGUGCUAGAGCCACCUAAAAGCUUCUUCCUUCACAUAAGCCUAGUGCUUGGGCUGGGGACUAUUGACACCAACACGUAGCCUGUCCAGAGUAUGAUAGCUUCAUGGCAGUCGGGCUUUUUAUGGGGUAGCUCAGUGCUCCAAGAAUGAGUUGAAAGCUGCAUGGCCUUUUAUGGCUUAUCCUCAAGACUCAUAUAUGCCUUCACAUCUCUCAUACUCUAUUGGUUGAGACCAUCACGAGUCUGCUUAGAUCCAAGGGGAAAGUAGGUAGAUUUCAAUUCUUGAUGGGACAGUUGUCAAAAAAUUUGUAGCCAUGUGUUAAAACUGCCAUACCUUAGAUUUAUCUAUCCACUGCGUCAAUUACUGAGAGCCUUUAUUUUGUGUAAGAAUCUUUUCGUUACAAGGAAGAAAAAGAAUUCCAGCUAGCUUAGGAAAAAAAUAGAUAUGGGUAAUUUAUUUUAAGAAUGUGAUGGUAUCUCACAGAACACCCCAAGGAUGUCACUAUAGUACGACUGCAUGCUCAGGGCCAGUAGGUGCUAAGGCGUUAAUGAGGCAAAGUCAUCCCCACUGACGUAUCCCCAUUCCUGGGCAGUGAUGCCCUAGUCCUAAAGGAAGGAACUAGAGGCCUCAGGGGGAGUCACUAAAGGGAGGGAUGGAGCAUUGUGGCAGGCCUGUCACACACAACAGAGAGGAGGCCAGAGUAGGGGGCUGGUUGUGUCUUCCCAGGUGGGAGUUGGAACACUGAGCAUCUAAGGGGGAGCCCUUCCAUCCCUAAACACUCGGGUGUUUAUUCUAGAGGGUCAUCUUUCAUCUUUCCUCCCCCCUUCUAACCCUCAGGCUGACUCACUACCCCCAGCCUAGCAGAUUCAGUCAUUCGUUAAUUCAACGAAUGUCUAUCGGGUCUCUUCGGUGUGCCUGGCCCUAUGGCAGUGAACAACACACUCAGGAGCCUGACGAAAUGAAGAAAUGCUCCGACCUGUGACCCGGGAGCCCUGAUUCUGUCAAUCACUCUUUAAGUAACUUUGGACAUGUACUCCAUCUUCCAUGGUCCUCAGUUACCCUAUCAGUCAAAUCACGGCCUUGACCUUGAAGACCACCGAGGUCCCUUCAGAAUCCCCCAGAAGAAAGAUGAUGCUGGCAGGGCAGGCACUCCAAAAAUUUCAGUCCUCAACCUCAAGUUUAUUUUCUGUCUUUUGCCUUUACUGCUGGCUGGCUUACUCCUGCUGUAAUUUAUUUAACUGAGCCGUGCUGAGCAGUUUGGAGCUGAGUUUGCAUGAAUCACUGUCCAUAAAAUCAAGUUAAGUGGAUUUCAUUCCACACAGCGCACCUGUGUAUAUACUCGGGGAGAAGAAGCUGGAUUUUCUUGGCUCUUCCAGACCACUGUUGGAAUUGCUUCCUUACAGAUACACCAUUCACCCUGUAUUUAUAGUCCAUUGUUAUAACAGCCUCCUUCAGAGACCUGGAAGUAAAGUGUUGGAUGCAAUUUUCCCUUCAGAUCAUUUUAUAUAGCUGUCCGGUUUCUCUGUCUAGUAGGGAGGCUGGCAUCGAUUCCCUCUAUUUUAUCAGAGUUGGCAAAUACCAGAUUCAACUUCAUUCAGUCAUUCAACAAAUAUUUAUUGAGUGUUACAUGAAGUUAUACGGAGCUAUGAACGGGGAUGAGGGUUCAGGGGGAGUGUCAUGCCGCUCAAAGACCCUAAGAACUACGUGAUGUGUUAGGUAACGUCAAUGUGAGAGCAUGACAAGAGGCAGAAAACAGGAAAUUCCACGUGUCGGUUGGAAGAAGAAAUGAACAGAGGUGAGUGACCUGGGAAGGAUCAUGGAGAGUUUGGGGAGGAUAUUGAGCUUGCGUGAGCGAUUCCUUUUUGGACCACUCCCUAUAUUUCCCCACCUCCCAUCCCCACUUGACAGAACCAGUGCUAGAUCCUUUCAGUUCACUGUAUUGUAAAAGGAUGCAAUCGGGGGUGGGGUGUGGGGUGGGGAAGAGGUUUGAGCAGAGAUGAGCAUUUGCGGGAAGAAAUGCCCAAAGGGUCUGCUCUGGUGCUUGUGAAAAUACUUUUUUUUUUUUUUUGGAGCCACUGUGAGGGAUUAUAAAGGGAUUUAUUUCAUAUUGUAACACAGCCAAAAGCACAGGCGGACUGUGACUAAAAUGGCGGUGUGAGGGACUGGCUAUUUGGAUCUUUGUUCUUAUUUUCUACCUUACCAGAAAAUGUACAAUUUUUACCCUGCCAUCAAAUAAACAUUUCACAAUUUUCCUGGCCGAUUUCAAAAA